rnacentral:rRNA from 1 species
AUACGGGAGGCAGCAGUGGGGAAUCUUGCGCAAUGGUCGAGAGACUGACGCAGCGACGCCGCGUGUGGGAGGACGCCUUUCGGGGUGUAAACCACUGUUGCCCGGGACGAAUCGGCUUAUUCGUAAGCCUUGACGGUACCGGGUGAGGAAGCACCGGCUAACUCCGUGCCAGCAGCCGCGGUAAUACGGAGGGUGCGAGCGUUGUCCGGAAUCAUUGGGCGUAAAGGGCGCGUAGGCGGCCACUUCAAGCGUGCGGUGAAAGUCGGGGGCUCAACCCCUGAUCGGCCGUGCGAACUGGGGGGCUGGAGCACUGUAGAGGCAGGCGGAAUUCCGGGUGUAGCGGUGGAAUGCGUAGAGAUCCGGAAGAACACCGGUGGCGAAGGCGGCCUGCUGGGCAGUUAGCUGACGCUGAGGCGCGACAGCGUGGGGAGCAAACAGGAUUAGAUACCCGAGUAG